rnacentral:rRNA from 1 species
GCUAUUUAGGUAGCGCCUCGUGAAUUCAUCUCCGGGGGUAGAGCACUGUUUCGGCUAGGGGGCCAUCCCGGCUUACCAACCCGAUGCAAACUGCGAAUACCGGAGAAUGUUAUCACGGGAGACACACGGCGGGUGCUAACGUCCGUCGUGAAGAGGGAAACAACCCAGACCGCCAGCUAAGGUCCCAAAGUCAUGGUUAAGUGGGAAACGAUGUGGGAAGGCCCAGACAGCCAGGAUGUUGGCUUAGAAGCAGCCAUCAUUUAAAGAAAGCGUAAUAGCUCACUGGUCGAGUCGGCCUGCGCGGAAGAUGUAACGGGGCUAAACCAUGCACCGAAGCUGCGGCAGCGAACGUAUCACCCAAGACAACUUUACGGAGUUGACGAUUGACGGAGCGAAGCGACGUCAAAGCGUUCAUUAAAGUCGAGUUGGCUUAGGGAUACGUUCGUUGGGUAGGGGAGCGUUCUGUAAGCCUGUGAA